AGAGUUUGAUCAUGGCUCAGAUUGAACGCUGGCGGCAUGCUUAAUACAUGCAAGUCGAACGGUAACAGAUUCUUCGGAAUGCUGACGAGUGGCGGACGGGUGAGUAAUACAUAGGAAUCUGCCCAUGUAGUGGGGGACAACUUGGGGAAACUCAAGCUAAUACCGCAUAAUUCCUACGGGAUAAAGAGGGCCACUGCUUGCAAGCUCUUGCUACUGGAUGAGCCUAUGUCGGAUUAGUUAGUUGGUAAGGUAAUGGCUUACCAAGACAGCGAUCCGUAGCUGGUUUGAGAGGAUGAUCAGCCACACUGGGACUGAGACACGGCCCAGACUCCUACGGGAGGCAGCAGUAGGGAGUAUUGGACAAUGGGCGCAAGCCUGAUCCAGCAAUGCCGCGUGUGUGAAGAAGGCCUGCGGGUUGUAAAGCACUUUCAAUUGGGAAGAAAGAUUAUGAGUUAAUACCUUAUAAUAUUGACGUUACCAAUACAAGAAGCACCGGCUAACUCUGUGCCAGCAGCCGCGGUAAUACAGAGGGUGCGAGCGUUAAUCGGAAUUACUGGGCGUAAAGAGUACGUAGGUGGUUAAAUCAGUCGGAUGUGAAAGCCCCAGGCUUAACUUGGGAAUUGCAUUCGAUACUAUUUGACUAGAGUACGGUAGAGAGAAGUGGAAUUCCUAGUGUAGCGGUGAAAUGCGUAGAUAUUAGGAAGAACACCAGUGGCGAAGGCGGCUUCUUGGAUCGAUACUGACACUGAGGUACGAAAGCGUGGGGAGCAAACAGGAUUAGAUACCCCUGGUAGUCCACGCCCUAAACGAUGAGAACU
rnacentral:rRNA from 1 species